UACGUAGGUGGCAAGCGUUGUCCGGAAUUAUUGGGCGUAAAGCGCGCGCAGGCGGUUCCUUAAGUCUGAUGUGAAAGCCCCCGGCUCAACCGGGGAGGGUCAUUGGAAACUGGGGAACUUGAGUACUGAAGAGGAAAGCGGAAUUCCACGUGUAGCGGUGAAAUGCGUAGAGAUGUGGAGGAACACCAGUGGCGAAGGCGGCUUUCUGGUCAGUAACUGACGCUGAGGCGCGAAAGCGUGAGGAGCAAACAGG
rnacentral:rRNA from 1 species